rnacentral:lncRNA from 1 species
CACACGUGUGUGUAUAUAUAUACACACUCGUUUGGUGGGAAAACCUACAAAGAGUAGUAGUUAAAUGGGAAUAACGAAAACAGAAGGGCUCUUUUAGAAAAUUGUCCCCACGAGUUAUAUGGAUUCCAGUUAAGCUAUAAGUUCCGAUGGAGUAAGUCAUCGCGUCGCCCCAUCGGCAAGCGCAUAUAAGGACUCGCUCUCCGGUCGACGUAUAAGAGGCCUCGAGCGGAGUCGUCGGAAAGGGAAGGGUUCUAGGGUGGUUUCCUUGUCUCGUCGUUGCUCUUCACCGCAUUUAGAACAAGAAAUAUGGUGUGAUGAUGACUCCUCCUCUGUUAUUUCUUAUGUCGUAGUAAUAGUGUUCUUUGUUUCUUGGAAUCUCCUUUGGUGUUCAGUCUUGUUGUCGUUUCUGAUGUAAAUAAUCUUGGUUUUCGUCGGAAUCUUUUGGUACUAAUUAUUGGAUUUUUGUGGAAACCAAUUCGUGUUUCCUUCUUUUACUCGAAGUUUGUUUAUUAGGGUUGUUGAUUCUUCGUUACUUGGAAUCACUAUUUAUUUGGGUUCUUGAUGGUCCUUAUCGGAAAUUUGUGGGUACUAAAUCGUGUUUUCUUCUGUCGAUAUAUGUUCAGUAAGGUUCUUGCUGGAUUAUUUUGGGUAUUAGUUCAUGUUUUCGCCUUUUUCCUGACAUUUGGUAGGGUUCUUGAUGGUUCCCUUUGGGUACUGAUACUUUUUAAAAUUUUUGUCUAUUAGGGUUCUUCUUGAUGGAUUUUUGUGGGUAUUAUUAGUUUAUGUUUUCUUCUUUUACUCGAUAUUUGUUGGGGUUCUUAAUGCUUCUUUUUCGGUACUAAUUCUUCUUGUGAUCUCUAUUUUCUUGAUGGAUUUUCGUGGGUAUUAGUUCAUGUUUUCUUCUAAUGCUCGACAUUUGUUAUGUUCUUGAUGGAUUCUUGUGGGCCCGAGUUUAUGUUUCCGUUUCGUACUCAAACAUCUAUUAGGGUUCUUGAUGGUUGUUUUCAGGAACUGAUAGUUUGUUUGGAUUCUUCUUAUAGUCUCUGUUUGUUUGGAUUUUUCUUGAUGGANNNNNNNNNNNNNNNNNNNNUUCUCGUGGGUAUUAGUUCAUGAUUUCUUCUUUUACUCGACAUUUAGGGUACUGAUUUUUCUUGUAGUCUCUGUUUGUUGGGGUUUCUUUAUGGAUUCUCGUGGGUAUUAGUUCAUGAUUUCUUUUUUUACUCGACAUUGAGGGUACUGAUUCUUCUUGUAGUCUCUGUUUUUUGGGGUUUUUCUUGAUGGAUUCUCGUGGGAAUUAGUUCAUGAUUUCUUCUUUUACGCCACAUUUAGGAUACUGAUUCUUCUUGUAGUCCCUGUUUGUUGGGAUUCUUCUUGAUGGAUUCUCGUGGGUAUUAGUUCAUGUUUUCUUCUUUUACUCGACAUUUAUUUGAGUUCUCGAUGAUUCUUUCUGAGUACUGAUUCUUUUUGUAACCAUAUUGGAUCUAAUCCAACAGACAGCCAAC